GUGGGUGUAGGGAAGCUCAUGAACAAUCCUCAUGUUUGACAAUGAGGAUAUGAUUUGGCUUUGAUUGUAGAAGAGCUGCCUUGGACUUUUACUUUCAGUGAACAACUUUGUCUCCUGAUCAUGUAAAACAAUGUCAAAGUAUACUUUAGGUACAGGGUCCCUUGCAUAUAGGGUUGGUAUGACUUCUCUUUGGUUGCUGGAACCGGGGAAAUAAGUAGCCAUGCUUACUCCUCCUCGAAA